rnacentral:rRNA from 1 species
UACGAAGGGGGCUAGCGUUGCUCGGAAUCACUGGGCGUAAAGGGUGCGUAGGCGGGUCUUUAAGUCAGGGGUGAAAUCCUGGAGCUCAACUCCAGAACUGCCUUUGAUACUGAGGAUCUUGAGUUCGGGAGAGGUGAGUGGAACUGCGAGUGUAGAGGUGAAAUUCGUAGAUAUUCGCAAGAACACCAGUGGCGAAGGCGGCGAUCUGGGUCGAUACUGACGCUGAGGUGCGAAAGCGUGGGGAGCAAACAGG